rnacentral:sRNA from 1 species
AACUAGCCCUGAUGAAAGCGGCAUCCUUUUGUGGCGGGGUUCGCCACAAAAGAUAAAGCGGACAGCAGGAAAUAGC